rnacentral:rRNA from 1 species
UUCCGGGGAACAACAACCAUCGCAAAGGAAACCGUGCGCCGGUUGCCAGGCCGAGAGGGACCGUUGCGCUCGACUCCGGGGUCCAGGCCGUCGAGAAAGCCCCGGCGUCAGGCGCGUGCCGCCCCGUACCCCAAACCGACCACUGGUGUCAGGGAAGAGAAAACCAAGGCGAUCGACGAAUCCUGGGUCAAGGAACUCGGCAAACCGCUCCCGGGCGUUCGGCAUAAGGGAGACCCCCGCGGGUGAACGGACAUGCUCCGGGAGCGUGUGGGGGUGGCACAGACCAGGGGGUAGCGACUGUUAACCAAAAACACAGGUGCAUGCGAAGGCGUAAGCCGCUGUAUAUGCACUGACGCCUGCCCGGUGCCGGAAGGUUAAGAGGAUCCGUCAGCCCCUUGGGGGUGAAGCGGUGAAUUCAAGCCCCGGUAAACGGCGGUGGUAACUAUAACCAUCCUAAGGUAGCGAAAUUCCUUGUCGGGUAAGUUCCGACCUGCACGAAUGGCGUAACGACUUCCCCGCUGUCUCGACCAGGAGCUCGGCGAAAUUGCAGUACGAGUAAAGAUGCUCGUUAAGCGCAGAAGGACGAAAAGACCCCGGGACCUUUACUAUACCUUGGUAUUGGCGUCAGUCGCGGAUUGUGUAGCAUAGGCGGGAGGCUUCGAGGCGCGGGCGCCAGCCCGCGCGGAGCCGCAAGGUGAAAUACCGCUCUGUUCUCGUUUGACGUCUCACCUCGAACGGUCAUCCUGUUCAGGGACAGUGCCUGGCGGGUAGUUUAACUGGGGCGGUUGCCUCCCAAAGAGUAACGGAGGCGCUCAAAGGUCCGCUCAGCCCGGUUGGCAAUCGGGUGUCGAGUGCAAUCGCACAAGCGGGCUUGACUGCGAGGACGGCGGUCCGAGCAGGGACGAAAGUCGGAGAUAGUGAUCCGGUGCCGGCGCACGGGCGCGGCAUCGCUCAACGGAUAAAAGGUACCCCGGGGAUAACAGGCUGAUCAUUCCCAAGAGUCCAUAUCGACGGGAUGGUUUGGCACCUCGAUGUCGGCUCGUCGCAUCCUGGGGCUGGAGCAGGUCCCAAGGGUUCGGCUGUUCGCCGAUUAAAGCGGCACGCGAGCUGGGUUCAGAACGUCGUGAGACAGUUUGGUCUCUAUCCUCUGCGCUCGUUGGAAUC